rnacentral:rRNA from 1 species
GAUGAACGCUGACAGAAUGCUUAACACAUGCAAGUCGAUUCAAGUUACCUUCGGGUAAUGAGGAUGGCGGACGGGUGAGUAACGCGUAAGGAACUUGCCUCUUGGUCUGGGACAACUGUUGGAAACGACAGCUAAUACCGGAUAUUAUGAGAUUCUCGCAUGGGAAACUUAUGAAAGCUAUAUGCGCCAAGAGAGAGCCUUGCGUUCCAUUAGCUAGUUGGUGGGGUAACGGCCCACCAAGGCGACGAUGGAUAGCCGGCCUGAGAGGGUGAACGGCCACAAGGGGACUGAGACACGGCCCUUACUCCUACGGGAGGCAGCAGUGGGGAAUAUUGGACAAUGGGCCACAAGCCUGAUCCAGCAAUUCUGUGUGCACGAUGAAGGUCUUCGGAUUGUAAAGUGCUUUCAGUUGGGAAGAAGAAAGUGACGGUACCAACAGAAGAAGCGACGGCUAAAUACGUGCCAGCAGCCGCGGUAAUACGUAUGUCGCAAGCGUUAUCCGGAUUUAUUGGGCGUAAAGCGCGUCUAGGCGGAAAAAUAAGUCUGANGUUAAAAUGCGGGGCUCAACUCCGUA